UUGAAAUAAACCUGAUGGGUUGUUGCUGGCUCUUUAGAGGGCAUGUGCACACUUGUCGUCUUUAUAUCUCCACCUGUGCACCCAUUGUAGACCUGGAUAACUCUCUGAAUGCUAGCUAGCAUUCAGGUAUGAGGAUUUGACUUUCUGUCUCUCCUUACAUUUUCAGGCCUAUGUUCUUUCAUAUAACCUCAAUGUAUGUUAAGGAAUGUGUAAUACUAUGGGCUUUCAUGCCUUAUAAACCUAUA
rnacentral:misc_RNA from 1 species